rnacentral:rRNA from 1 species
ACGCUGGCGGCAGGCCUAACACAUGCAAGUCGAGCGGCAGCACGGGUACUUGUACCUGGUGGCGAGCGGCGGACGGGUGAGUAAUGCCUAGGAAUCUGCCUGGUAGUGGGGGGUAACGCUCGGAAACGGACGCUAAUACCGCAUACGUCCUACGGGAGAAAGCAGGGGACCUUCGGGCCUUGCGCUAUCAGAUGAGCCUAGGUCGGAUUAGCUAGUUGGUGAGGUGAUGGCUCACCAAGGCGACGAUCCGUAACUGGUCUGAGAGGAUGAUCAGUCACACUGGAACUGAGACACGGUCCAGACUCCUACGGGAGGCAGCAGUGGGGAAUAUUGGACAAUGGGCGAAAGCCUGAUCCAGCCAUGCCGCGUGUGUGAAGAAGGUCUUCGGAUUGUAAAGCACUUUAAGUUGGGAGGAAGGGCAGUUACCUAAUACGUAUCUGUUUUGACGUUACCGACAGAAUAAGCACCGGCUAACUCUGUGCCAGCAGCCGCGGUAAUACAGAGGGUGCAAGCGUUAAUCGGAAUUACUGGGCGUAAAGCGCGCGUAGGUGGUUUGUUAAGUUGGAUGUGAAAUCCCCGGGCUCAACCUGGGAACUGCAUUCAAAACUGACAAGCUAGAGUAUGGUAGAGGGUGGUGGAAUUUCCUGUGUAGCGGUGAAAUGCGUAGAUAUAGGAAGGAACACCAGUGGCGAAGGCGACCACCUGGACUGAUACUGACACUGAGGUGCGAAAGCGUGGGGAGCAAAC